GCGGUGUUGUACGAGUGGGUCGAGGGGAAAGAGGGAGGAGACUUGCCUGUGGUCUGUUUGGGUUUGUGUGUCAGUCGUUGUGGUUUUUGGG
rnacentral:ribozyme from 1 species